rnacentral:rRNA from 1 species
GAUCAUGGCUCAGGACGAACGCUGGCGGCGUGCUUAACACAUGCAAGUCGAACGGUGAAGCACCUUCCUUUUGGUGGGUGUGGAUGAGUGGCGAACGGGUGAGUAACACGUGAGUAACCUGCCCCCUUCUUCUGGAUAACCGCAUGAAAGUGUGGCUAAUACGGGAUAUUCUGUGCCUGCUGCAUGGUGGGUGUGGGAAAGAUAUUGUUUCGGUGGGGGAUGGGCUCGCGGCCUAUCAG